GAGUAAUGUCUGGGAAACUGCCUGAUGGAGGGGGAUAACUACUGGAAACGGUAGCUAAUACCGCAUAACGUCGCAAGACCAAAGAGGGGGACCUUCGGGCCUCUUGCCAUCGGAUGUGCCCAGAUGGGAUUAGCUAGUAGGUGGGGUAAAGGCUCACCUAGGCGACGAUCCCUAGCUGGUCUGAGAGGAUGACCAGCCACACUGGAACUGAGACACGGUCCAGACUCCUACGGGAGGCAGCAGUGGGGAAUAUUGCACAAUGGGCGCAAGCCUGAUGCAGCCAUGCCGCGUGUAUGAAGAAGGCCUUCGGGUUGUAAAGUACUUUCAGCGGGGAGGAAGGGAGUAAAGUUAAUACCUUUGCUCAUUGACGUUACCCGCAGAAGAAGCACCGGCUAACUCCGUGCCAGCAGCCGCGGUAAUACGGAGGGUGCAAGCGUUAAUCGGAAUUACUGGGCGUAAAGCGCACGCAGGCGGUUUGUUAAGUCAGAUGUGAAAUCCCCGGGCUCAACCUGGGAACUGCAUCUGAUACUGGCAAGCUUGAGUCUCGUAGAGGGGGGUAGAAUUCCAGGUGUAGCGGUGAAAUGCGUAGAGAUCUGGAGGAAUACCGGUGGCGAAGGCGGCCCCCUGGACGAAGACUGACGCUCAGGUGCGAAAGCGUGGGGAGCAAACAGG
rnacentral:rRNA from 1 species